CCCUCCCAGGCCCCCAAGAGGUCACAACACUCCCCCCAGUACACGUGUACCCCACACCAGUGCCCUAUGUGGAGGGCAACGACGGCUCCUACGCCCCCCCCGGUGCCAUCCGCUCUGGUUCCUACCCCUAUGCUGAGGCCCCUCUCUAUGGGCAGAGCAGUGGCACCGGUUACUACGAGAGCCCGGGGGGGGCCCCGGUGCAGCCCAGCC